ACUCCUGCGGGAGGCAGCAGUGGGGAAUUUUGGACAAUGGGCGAAAGCCUGAUCCAGCAAUGCCGCGUGCAGGAUGAAGGCCUUCGGGUUGUAAACUGCUUUUGUACGGAACGAAAAAGCUCCUUCUAAUACAGGGGGCCCAUGACGGUACCGUAAGAAUAAGCACCGGCUAACUACGUGCCAGCAGCCGCGGUAAUACGUAGGGUGCGAGCGUUAAUCGGAAUUACUGGGCGUAAAGCGUGCGCAGGCGGUUAUGUAAGACAGAUGUGAAAUCCCCGGGCUCAACCUGGGAACUGCAUUUGUGACUGCAUGGCUAGAGUACGGUAGAGGGGGAUGGAAUUCCGCGUGUAGCAGUGAAAUGCGUAGAUAUGCGGAGGAACACCGAUGGCGAAGGCAAUCCCCUGGACCUGUACUGACGCUCAUGCACGAAAGCGUGGGGAGCAAACAGGAUUAGAUACCCUGGUAGUCCCAUGAU
rnacentral:rRNA from 1 species